rnacentral:rRNA from 1 species
AUUGAACGCUGGCGGCAGGCCUAACACAUGCAAGUCGAACGAGUGGCGGACGGGUGAGUAAUACUUGGGGAUCUGCCUGAUGGAGGGGGAUAACUACUGGAAACUGUAGCUAAUACCGCUUACCAUAGGAUGAGCCCAAGUGGGAUUAGCUAGUUGGUGAGGUAAAGGCUCACCAAGGCGACGAUCUCUAGCUGGUCUGAGAGGAUGACCAGCCACACUGGGACUGAGACACGGCCCAGACUCCUACGGGAGGCAGCAGUGGGGAAUAUUGCACAAUGGGGGCAAGCCUGAUGCAGCCAUGCCGCGUGGAUGAAGAAGGCCUUAGGGUUGUAAAGUACUGUCAGCAGGGAGGCGUUAACCGCAGAAGAAGCACAGGCUAACUCCGUGCCAGCAGCCGCGGUAAUAC